CGGAGGCCUUUGUUUAUAUUCCAAGACUACGAUUGAUUAAAGUGAUCAAUUGUAGUGAGUCAGUUCGCGAUUCAGCUCAAAGAAUUAAACAGGAUGUAGAAGAUAUUGAAGGAGAUGAGAGACUCCAACUUCAUAUCCCCAAGAACUACUAAAGAUGGUAACUGAUUGUCAUUCCUUCAACGGAAAAUUACAUUUUCUAGAUGUGAUUUCCGAGCAGCAGAAUCAUUCAUCGGAUCAGAUCAGGAGACAUCAUUAGAAGCUAAACCAUUGCAGUACUGAGAUGAAAG
rnacentral:misc_RNA from 1 species